UUCAGAUCUCAAUCUCAUCUCGCACCUGCUCUCUCUCUCUCUCUUCAACCUUGGUGAUACGGCUGCUACUCAGAAGGAUCUUACAUCUGGUACUACCGUCAAUGUGUGGUGGUGGUUCUGCGACUCUGCAAUGAGAACGAUCUAAUGGAAGGACCGGAGUCAAAGGACUGGCUAAAGAUUUGCGAUUCGUUGAACGAUGUGAGGUGACUAGCAUUGUUCCACUCUGAGCUCCUGCUACCGAUCUUGAAAAAGGUCGUGAUGGUUUUAGUGAAAUCAAUGAAGAAUCCAAGAAGUGCUUAAUGCAAGACUGCAAUCAUGGCUGCUUCUGAUCUUUUCAACAAGUUCUAUGAAUUCGGUUUUGCAUCCACAUUAUGGAACGUUAAAAUCAUACUAUGAGACACUCCCAGAUUCAGAUUUAAAGAAAUUAUGUGACGAAGGUUGAUAGUGUGGCAGAGUAGGCACAUGAGGAAGUAAUCCAUGUAUAGGUUGGGAAUUGU
rnacentral:lncRNA from 1 species